AGUCGAACGGCAGCACGGACUUCGGUCUGGUGGCGGUGGCGAACGGGUGAGUAAUGUAUCGGAACGUGCCUAGUAGCGGGGGAUAACUACGCGAAAGCGUAGCUAAUGCCGCAUACGCCCUUCGGGGGGAAAGCGGGGGGACCUUCGGGCCUCGCACUAUUAGAGCGGCCGAUAUCGGAUUAGCUAGUUGGUGGGAGUGACGGCUCGCAAGGCGACGAUCCGUAGCUGGUUUAGAGAGGACGACCAGCCACACUGGGACUGAGACACGGCCCAGACUCCUGCGGGAGGCAGCAGUGGGAAUUUUGGACAAUAGGGAAACCCUGAUCCAGCCAUCCCGCGUGUGCGAUGAAGUAGCCUGGGUUGUAAACACUUUUGGCAGGAAAGAAACGGCACGGGAUAAUACCCCAUUUUAACUGACGGUACCUGCAGAAUAAGCACCGGCUAACUACGUGCCAGCAGCCGCGGUAAUACGUAAGUGCAAGCGUUAAUCAGCGCGAGCGGUUCGAAGAAAGAUGUGAAAUCCCAGAGCUUAACUUUGGAACUGCAUUUUUUAACUAUGACGAAGUGUCAGAGAGUGGAAUUCCGCGUGUAGCAGUGAAAUGCGUAGAUAUGCGGAGGAACACCGAUGGCGAAGGCAGCCUCCUGGGAUAACACUGACGCUCAUGCACGAAAGCGUGGGGAGCAAACAGGAUUAGAUACCCUGGUAGUCCACGCCCUAAACGAUGUCAGCCCAACUACAUUGAACCUUCAAGCCUUGGUAGCGCAAUAACGCGUGAAGUUGACCGCCUGGGAAUACGAGUCGCAAGAUUAAAACUCAAAGGAAUUGACGGGGACCCCACGGUGGAUGAUGUGGAUUAAUUCGAUGCAACGCGAAAAACCUUACCUAUAGCAUGUCUGGAAUCCCGAAGGGUUGGGGUGCUCGCAAGAGAACCGGAACACAGGUGCUGCAUGGCUGUCGUCAGCUCGUGUCGUGAGAUGUUGGGUUAAGUCCCGCAACGAGCGCAACCCUUGUCGUGUAGUUGCUACGAAGGAGGCGCUCUAAUGAGACUGACCGGAAGGUGGGAUGGCGUAGAGUCCUGUGGCCCUGUGGGUAGGAACUUCACACGUCAUACAAUGGUCGGGACAGAGGGUCGCCAACCCGCGAGGAGGCCAAUCCCAGAAACCCGAUCGUAGUCCGGAUCAUGAUCUGCAACUCGACUGCGUGAAGUCGGAAUCGCUAGUAAUCUCGCGGAUCAGCAUGUCGCGGUGAAUACGUUCCCGGGUCUUGUACACACCGCCCGUCACACCAUGGGAGUGGGUUUUACCAAGUAGUUAGCCUAACCUGUGCGGAAGGCGGUACCACGGUAGGAUUCAUGACUGGGGUGAAGUCGUAACAGGUAA
rnacentral:rRNA from 1 species